UGGGGAAUAUUGGACAAUGGGCGAAAGCCUGAUCCAGCCAUGCCGCGUGAGUGAUGAAGGCCCUAGGGUUGUAAAGCUCUUUCAACGGUGAAGAUAAUGACGGUAACCGUAGAAGAAGCCCCGGCUAACUUCGUGCCAGCAGCCGCGGUAAUACGAAGGGGGCUAGCGUUGUUCGGAAUUACUGGGCGUAAAGCGCACGUAGGCGGACUAUUAAGUCAGGGGUGAAAUCCCGGGGCUCAACCCCGGAACUGCCUUUGAUACUGGUAGUCUAGAGUCCGAGAGAGGUGAGUGGAAUUCCGAGUGUAGAGGUGAAAUUCGUAGAUAUUCGGAGGAACACCAGUGGCGAAGGCGGCUCACUGGCUCGGUACUGACGCUGAGGUGCGAAAGCGUGGGGAGCAAACAGG
rnacentral:rRNA from 1 species